rnacentral:misc_RNA from 1 species
UUAAGUUCAGCGGGUAUUCCUACCUGAUCCGAGGUCAACGUUCAGAAAGUUGGGUGUUUUACGGCGUGGCCACGUCGGGGUUCCGGUGCGAGGUUGAGUUACUACGCAGAGGUCGCCGCGGACGGGCCGCCACUCCAUUUCGGGGCCGGCUAGUGCUGCCGAUCCCCAACACCGAUUUCCCCAAAGGGAAGUCGAGGGUU